UUGCCUCAGUACGGCGAGUGAAGCGGCAACAGCUCAAAUUUGAAAUCUGGCCGCAAGGUCCGAGUUGUAAUUUGCAGAGGAUGCUUUUGGCGAGGUGCCUUCCGAGUUCCCUGGAACGGGACGCCAUAGAGGGUGAGAGCCCCGUACGGUUGGACCACCGAGCCUCUGUAAAGCUCCUUCGACGAGUCGAGUAGUUUGGGAAUGCUGCUCUAAAUGGGAGGUGUACGUCUUCUAAAGCUAAAUACCGGCCAGAGACCGAUAGCGCACAAGUAGAGUGAUCGAAAGAUGAAAAGCACUUUGAAAAGAGGGUUAAAAAGUACGUGAAAUUGUUGAAAGGGAAGCGUUUAUGACCAGACUUGGGCUUGGUUGAACAUCCGGCGUUCUCGCCGGUGCACUCUGCCAGUCCAGGCCAGCAUCAGUUUGUCCCGGGGGAUAAAGGCGGUGGGAAUGUGGCUCCCCCGGGAGUGUUAUAGCCCGCCGUGCAAUGCCCUGGGACGGACUGAGGAACGCGCUUCGGCACGGAUGCUGGCGUAAUGGUCAUCAACGACCCGUCUUGACCCAACGGACCA
rnacentral:rRNA from 1 species